AUUGAACGCUGGCGGCAGGCUUAACACAUGCAAGUCGAGCGGAGAUGAGGUGCUUGCACCUUAUCUUAGCGGCGGACGGGUGAGUAAUGCUUAGGAAUCUGCCUAUUAGUGGGGGACAACAUUCCGAAAGGAAUGCUAAUACCGCAUACGCCCUACGGGGGAAAGCAGGGGAUCUUCGGACCUAGCGCCAAUAGAUGAGCCUAAGUCGGAUUAGCUAGUUGGUGGGGUAAAGGCCUACCAAGGCGACGAUCUGUAGCGGGUCUGAGAGGAUGAUCCGCCACACUGGGACUGAGACACGGCCCAGACUCCUACGGGAGGCAGCAGUGGGGAAUAUUGGACAAUGGGCGGAAGCCUGAUCCAGCCAUGCCGCGUGUGUGAAGAAGGCCUUUUGGUUGUAAAGCACUUUAAGCGAGGAGGAGGCUACCUGGAUUAAUACUCUAGGAUAGUGGACGUUACUCGCAGAAUAAGCACCGGCUAACUCUGUGCCAGCCGCCGCCGUAAGAC
rnacentral:rRNA from 1 species